AGGGCGGUACGGCCAUUCCCCAGGAAAGGGGGUGGUGAAAUGACGAUUACAGAAUCAUUCGGGCUUGUUUUUACGAGCAUUGGCCUGACCAUUAGUGCGUUAACUUUUGUUGUGUCGUUGAUUCUCGUCAUAAAUAAAAAAAAAUAACCGUCCCU
rnacentral:misc_RNA from 1 species